rnacentral:piRNA from 1 species
GAGGUGUUAUGAGCACCAAGUGGCCUA